rnacentral:rRNA from 1 species
UACGGAGGAUCCAAGCGUUAUCCGGAAUUAUUGGGCGUAAAGAGCUCGUAGGCGGUCUGUCGCGUCGGCUGUGAAAACCCGAGGCUCAACCUCGGGCCUGCAGUCGAUACGGGCAAACUAGAGUACUGCAGGGGAGACUGGAAUUCCUGGUGUAGCGGUGAAAUGCGCAGAUAUCAGGAGGAACACCGGUGGCGAAGGCGGGUCUCUGGGCAGUAACUGACGCUGAGGAGCGAAAGCGUGGGGAGCGAACAGG